UUAUAAUUUCCACCCUUGAUCAUCCUGUUGUGUUUACCUUAGAAAAUACACCCUGAAUGGGCACACCAUGUGCCUGUUGAGAUUUCAACUACAAUAGUGACAACUGUCAUAAUGAUGAUUGUCCGACUUCUCUUGAACCGCUGACACAUCACAACUCACUCAGCAACACAAAUAGCACUGUGGCCAGUCCUCCACCAGUCCCGAUCUCCAUGAGAGAUGACAUCACAGAGAUUAGCUGUAGCUGUCUGAUUCCUGGUACAAACAUUUCAAACACAAACACUCGCACCAGUGGCAGAGCUUUGCACUAUCAAUAGGGGCUUUGAGCGUUCAGUGAAACCGUUCCCUUGUUCCCCUAUGGUGUGAUGAUACAUUGUAAGAGCCGUGAAUGGAACUGUCCAGUCAUAUUGCUGCCAUAAUUCAAAGAGGGUAACAGCCCUGAAACUCCUUAAGUUAACAGAAAUCAGUUAUCUGAGUUAGCACAGAGAUUUUAGAAGCUGAGUAGUGACGACCUGUUGCAAUCUCCUGUCUCUUAGGAGAGUCCGGAGAAGCGUUCUUCCUCCACGGGCUUCAAAAUGAGAUGAAGUGAAAAUGUCUCUGAGGGGCCGUCAAGGGCCUCCUAAACUGGAGCGACUGGAGUCAGUCAUGAGUCAGUUCUCUGGCAGCUUGGACCAAGAUGACCUACAAGACGACCCAGAGGAGCUGGAUUUAAGUGGCCAUACUGACCUCUGUGGAGAACCAAGGAACAUAUCCUUCCAAGCAAUAUACAGCUUUCUUCCAUUCAAGUCCCUGGAUGGUGUUAUAUUUCUUGAAGAAGUGCCAAUCCAAGUACAGGUGACAGAGGUGGAGCGAUUCACAUCUACCAGGGU